UAGCGCGCAGGGAAGGCUGGUCACCCCACCCUAAUCUUGUUAUGCAAAUAGGCUUCCCACUUGGCAGGGGCCGUCUUGUCCACUCGUUUCUGUAAACAUGGGUGGCAAAAAGAGAAGAUGGAGCUGCCAUUUAGAACAUGCCUAAUCCCAGCUUCAUCUUGCUGAGCAAAAAUGAAGGAGCCUGGACCCAACUUUGUUACUGUGAGAAAGGGUCUUCAUUCAUUCAAGAUGGCAUUUGUUAAGCACCUACUACAAACCUUGGAAAUCAAGAAAGUUCUGGAAUGAUGAAGCUGUUCAUGCCAAGACCGAAAGUGCUGGCCCAGUAUGAGUCCAUUCAGUUCAUGCCGUGACAAUUUUCUUGGAACUCCUUUUUAUUGUUAGUUCUCACUUGUUUCCAUAUUUAGUGAAUGUACAUUUAAUUGCAAAGCUGUCAUUAAUAAAAAUUCUUAUAGUACCUCA
rnacentral:lncRNA from 1 species